UACGGAGGGUGCGAGCGUUGUUCGGAAUCAUUGGGCGUAAAGCGCGCGCAGGCGGCCCUUUAAGUCUCACUGUGAAAGCCCGCGGCUCAACCGCGGGAGGCCAGGGGAUACUGGAGGGCUGGAGACGGGUAGAGGCGAGCGGAAUUCCGGGUGUAGCGGUGGAAUGCGUAGAGAUCCGGAAGAACACCAGAGGCGAAGGCGGCUCGCUGGACCCGUUCUGACGCUGAGGCGCGAAAGCGUGGGGAGCGAACAGGAUUAGAAACCCCCGUAGUCC
rnacentral:rRNA from 1 species